UGUACAUUGUGAACUAUAUAUCCUAAAUGAAAUUGUCAACAGGCUGUAGCCUACACUUGUGCUAAUUACUGAGUUUUGGCCAAUCAAAGGUGACCAGCUGUGCAAACCAUGUUCAAAUAAGGCAAACGCCAAGCUGUAAUCAAUUUGGCUGUUUCUGUACCUCAUUUCCAUAUUAUGUACAUUACUUUCCUUUUUCUGUCCAUAAAUGUUUCACCAGGUGGCUGCACUGCGGUCCCUGAGCCUACUCUGGCUCCAGAGGCUGCCCAAUUUGCAAAUUAUUCUUUGCACAAUUAAAGUCUUAAAUUAAAUCACCUAAGGCUUUUAUUUUAACAGAUGAUGUCAGAAGUAGGAUCUGGAGUACAGUGUCUAACAACUCAAAUGAGUGCUGAGCGACCACGCGAGGUACCCACCAACCCCACUGCGUCCACUGCUUUCCCCAGGUAGCUGGGGAUCACGAGAAAUCCUAUAUUUCUGCUUGACCCUCUUGUGCUUCUGCCAUCAGAUGAGAAGCACACGCAUUAUGUAAUCCGUAGAAUCAACGUGUGUGGAUGAGAGACAUGCGGUGCUAACCAGACCCAGCCUACAGCUUAUAAUGAAGUCUAUCUCUGCUCAGUCUAGAACAGCCACACCUCAGCCAACCUCAAGACAAAUUAUCAAAAUAAAUACUUUUUGCUUUAAUUCACU
rnacentral:lncRNA from 1 species